GAAAUAUGAACCCUCUUACGGGGAAGACUGGGGCAGAAGGAAAAGGGCCACUGAAUCUCUUGUUGGAAUCUGUGGUGGUUUGAAUAUACCUGGCCCAUGGAAAGUGGCACUAUUAGAAAGUAUGGCCUUGUUGGAAUAUGUUUGGCCUUGUUGGAGGAAUGUGUCACUGUGUAGGUGGACUUCAAGGACUCCCACUGCUAAAGCUCCACCCAGUGCAGAAAAUCAAGUCUCCUCCUGGCUGCCUUCAGAUCAAGUUGUAGAACUCUCAGCUCCUCCAGCACCAUGUCUGCCUGCAGGCUGCCAUGUUUCCUGCCCUGGUGAUAAUGGACUGAACCUCUGAAACUCCUUCUGAUCUGGAUGUAGAACGCUUGGAUCCUUCUCCAGCACCAUGUCUGCCAGCAUGCCACCAUGCUUGCUGCCAUGAUGACAAUGAACUAAACCUCUGAACCUGUAUCCUCCGAGGUCUCUGAGUCUGUUCUACCCUGGAGCUGACCUCUCUGCGUCUCCUCAGCAGUGACCUGGGGAAGCAGCACAGUUUCUCUUGGUUGCCCAAACCCAGCUUUCACCUGCCUUUCCUGCAAGGCCUUUAACUGUGCCUCCCGUAUCCUCAUCUUCUUUCGAGAUCAGAGAUUAUUUGGCUUGGCUGUGGUUCCGGCUCAACUGUUUCUUGGCAUACUCCACUCAUGGGUCUGUUUCCUUGUGUGGGUUUUAACCAUCUCUGUGGGGGGUGCAUUGUUAACACUGUUAAAAUGUCUGAAGCUGACUGGCUGAUCUCACCACUGCAAACUAUUACCUGUUGAUAACCACUAGUCCCCUCCCAAUAAAAACUGUAACACGA
rnacentral:lncRNA from 1 species